rnacentral:rRNA from 1 species
AAUAUUGGACAAUGGGGGCAACCCUGAUCGAUCCAUGCCGCGGGCGUGAAGAAGGUCGUCGGAUUGUAUAGCACUUUAUGUGGGGAGGAAGGGUUUUAGGUUAGUACCUUGAGGCAUUGACGUUACAAACUGUAUAAGAACCGGAUAUCUCUGUGCAAGCAGCCGCGGGAAUACAGAUGGUGCAAGCAUUAAUCGGAAUUACUGGGCGUAAAGCGCGCGUAGGUGGUUCAGUAAGAUGUGUGUGAACUCCCCGGGCUUAACCUCGGAACUGCUGCCAUAACUGCUGAGCUUGAGUACGGUAGAGGGUAGGGGAAUUUCCUGUGUAGCGGUGAAAUGCGUAGAAAUAAGAAGGAACACCAGUGGCGAAGACGACUACCUGGACUGAUACUGACACUGAGGUGCGAAAGCGUGGGGAGCAAAC